GUCUAGAAAUUUGGGCAAUGGGCGAAAGCCUGACCCAGCGACACCGCGUGGAGGAUGAAGUCCUUCGGGAUGUAAACUCCUGUCAGGAGGAACGAUGCCACUCGGUAGUAACUGCCCGAGUGGUGACGGUACUUCCAAAGGAAGCCCCGGCUAACUACGUGCCAGCAGCCGCGGUAAUACGUAGGGGGCAAGCGCUGUCCGGAUUUACUGGGCGUAAAGGGUGUGUAGGCGGACUGGUGUGUCGAUGGUGAAAGCCUCCGGCUCAACUGGAGAACUGCUGUCGAAACUACCGGUCUAGAGGACAGAAGAGGAAACUGGAACUUCCGGUGUAGCGGUAAAAUGCGUAGAUAUCGGAAGGAACGCCAAUAGCGAAGGCAGGUUUCUGGUAUGUCCCUGACGCUGAAACACGAAAGCCAGGGGAGCAAACAGGAUUAGAUACCCCUGUAGUCC
rnacentral:rRNA from 1 species